rnacentral:rRNA from 1 species
AGGCUGGGUGUGUAAUCACAGCAAUGUGUUUAGCUUACCAGUACUAAUCGGCCGUGAGGCUUGACCAUAAAA